rnacentral:rRNA from 1 species
CACGUGGUAUCCUGUCUGAAUAUGGGGGGACCAUCCUCCAAGGCUAAAUACUCCUGACUGACCGAUAGUGAACCAGUACCGUGAGGGAAAGGCGAAAAGAACCCCGGCGAGGGGAGUGAAAAAGAACCUGAAACCGUGUACGUACAAGCAGUGGGAGCCUCUUAAUGGGGUGACUGCGUACCUUUUGUAUAAUGGGUCAGCGACUUAUAUUCUGUAGCAAGGUUAACCGAAUAGGGGAGCCGAAGGGAAACCGAGUCUUAACUGGGCGUUAAGUUGCAGGGUAUAGACCCGAAACCCGGUGAUCUAGCCAUGGGCAGGUUGAAGGUUGGGUAACACUAACUGGAGGACCGAACCGACUAAUGUUGAAAAAUUAGCGGAUGACUUGUGGCUGGGGGUGAAAGGCCAAUCAAACCGGGAGAUAGCUGGUUCUCCCCGAAAGCUAUUUAGGUAGCGCCUCGUGAAUUCAUCUCCGGGGGUAGAGCACUGUUUCGGCAAGGGGGUCAUCCCGACUUACCAACCCGAUGCAAACUGCGAAUACCGGAGAAUGUUAUCACGGGAGACACACGGCGGGUGCUAACGUCCGUCGUGAAGAGGGAAACAACCCAGACCGCCAGCUAAGGUCCCAAAGUCAUGGUUAAGUGGGAAACGAUGUGGGAAGGCCCAGACAGCCAGGAUGUUGGCUUAGAAGCAGCCAUCAUUUAAAGA